rnacentral:rRNA from 1 species
UACGGGGGGGGCAAGCGUUGUUCGGAUUUACUGGGCGUAAAGGGCGCGUAGGCGGCUUGACAAGUCACUUGUGAAAUCUCCGGGCUUAACUCGGAACGGCCAAGUGAAACUGUCAUGCUAGAGUGCAGAAGGGGCAAUCGGAAUUCUUGGUGUAGCGGUGAAAUGCGUAGAUAUCAAGAGGAACACCUGAGGUGAAGACGGGUUGCUGGGCUGACACUGACGCUGAUGCGCGAAAGCCAGGGGAGCAAACGGG